rnacentral:rRNA from 1 species
AUACGGAGGGUGCAAGCGUUAUCCGGAAUCAUUGGGUUUAAAGGGUCCGUAGGCGGGCUAAUAAGUCAGGGGUGAAAUCCCACAGCUUAACUGUGGAACUGCCCUUGAUACUGUUGGUCUUGAGUUACAGUGAAGUGGUUAGAAUGUGUAGUGUAGCAGUGAAAUGCAUAGAGAUUACACAGAAUACCGAUUGCGAAGGCAGAUCACUAACUGUAUACUGACGCUAAUGGACGAAAGCGUGGGGAGCGAACAGGAUUAGAAACCCCGGUAGUCC